GAUUACGGAAAGAAUACACAGAGCUUUAAAAUACAUGCAAAUUAAAAUAUCAGUAAAUAUUAAAAAUUCAACUCCUUUAUAAAAUUUUUUUCUUUACAUUGGAUAUAUCUUUUAUACAUCAAAUAGGACUGCUUCCAAACUAGAAAUAAUUAUUUUGAAAAUUCUAUUAAUUGCUUUUUAGAUAUUAAGUCAAAUAUUUACUGUGACUUUAGGUAAAAACUGACAACUUUCUACAUACGAAUUUUAUAUAAAUAAAUAAUUGCUACUUAAGUCAAACAGAAAUAAUUCUUCUGAUAAAAAUGCACCAGACUUCCUGAAACGUUACCAGAAGAAAGGUUAAAUGUCACAGAUUCUAACCAAUGUCUAUACAAAGUAACUUUUAUGGUUUUGACUCAAAAUGAACUCAUUCUACCUUUGUCAAACUACUGAGGUGGAGCCUAAAUACAAAGUAAGAGAAAAAAAUUCAUGAUGAUGAUGUCAUAUACUAAAAAUCAAAGCUGUUCUAUUUAAAAAGCAAAAAUGAAAAGCGAGAAUGAAUAAAACAAAUCCCCACGUACUAAA
ensembl:lncRNA novel transcript, antisense to GNPDA2